rnacentral:rRNA from 1 species
CGCUGGCGGCGUGCCUAAUACAUGCAAGUCGAACGGUCUUUCUAUGGAAGCUUGCUUCCACUGAGAAGAUAGUGGCGAACGGGUGAGUAACACGUGGGUAACCUGCCCAUAAGAGGGGGAUAACAUCCGGAAACGGGUGCUAAUACCGCAUAGUUUUCUUGAUCGCAUGAUCGGGAAAGGAAAGACGGCCUUUGUGCUGUCGCUUUAUGGAUGGACCCGCGGCGUAUUAGUUAGUUGGUGAGGUAACGGCUCACCAAGACGAUGAUACGUAGCCGACCUGAGAGGGUGAUCGGCCACAUUGGGACUGAGACACGGCCCAAACUCCUACGGGAGGCAGCAGUAGGGAAUCUUCCGCAAUGGACGAAAGUCUGACGGAGCAACGCCGCGUGAGUGAAGAAAGGUUUUCGGAUCGUAAAACUCUGUUGUCAGAGAAGAACAAGUUGGAGAGUAACUGCUCCAGCCUUGACGGUAUCUGACCAGAAAGCCACGGCUAACUACGUGCCAGCAGCCGC